CCUACGUGAUGCAGCAGUGGGGAAUAUUGGACAAUGGGCGAAAGCCUGAUCCAGCCAUGCCGCGUGUGUGAAGAAGGCCUUCGGGUUUUAAAGCACUUUCAGUGGGGAAGAAAGCCUUGGGGCUAAUACCCUCUAGGAAGGACAUCACCCACAGAAGAAGCACCGGCUAACUCCGUGCCAGCAGCCGCGGUAAUACGGAGGGUGCGAGCGUUAAUCGGAAUUACUGUGCGUAAAGCGCGCGUAGGCGGUCUGAUAAGCCGGUUGUGAAAGCCCCGGGCUCAAACUGGGAACGGCAUCCGGAACUGUCAGGCUAGAGUGCAGGAGAGGAAGGUAGAAUUCCCGGUGUAGCGGUGAAAUGCGUAGAGAUCGGGAGGAAUACCAGUGGCGAAGGCGGCCUUCUGGACUGACACUGACGCUGAGGUGCGAAAGCGUGGGUAGCAAACAGGAUUAGAUACCCGGGUAGUC
rnacentral:rRNA from 1 species